rnacentral:rRNA from 1 species
UAGGGAAUAUUGGGCAAUGGACGCAAGUCUGACCCAGCCAUGCCGCGUGCAGGAUGAAGGCCUUCUGGGUUGUAAACUGCUUUUAUCUAGGAAGAAAAAACUCUUGCGAGAGGAACUGACGGUACUAGAUGAAUAAGCACCGGCUAACUCCGUGCCAGCAGCCGCGGUAAUACGGAGGGUGCAAGCGUUGUCCGGAUUUAUUGGGUUUAAAGGGUGCGUAGGCGGCCUUAUAAGUCAGUGGUGAAAGCCCAUCGCUCAACGAUGGAACUGCCAUUGAUACUGUAAGGCUUGAGUACAGACGAGGUAGGCGGAAUUGAUGGUGUAGCGGUGAAAUGCAUAGAUACCAUCAAGAACACCGAUUGCGUAGGCAGCUUACUAGGCUGUAACUGACGCUGAGGCACGAAAGCGUGGGGAGCGAACAG